rnacentral:rRNA from 1 species
AUUAGUGGCGAACGGGUGAGUAACACGUGAGUAACCUGCCCCUUACUUUCCUGGAUAACUGCUCGAAAGGGUAGCUAAUACGGGAUAUUCUGACCAGCCCGCAUGGGUUGGUUUGGAAAGGUUGUUUUUCUGGUAAGGGAUGGGCUCGCGGCCUAUCAGCUUGUUGGUGGGGUGAUGGCCUACCAAGGCUUUGACGGGUAGCCGGCCUGAGAGGGUGGACGGUCACACUGGGACUGAGAUACGGCCCAG